GCCCGCUUGGCUCAGGGGUAGAGCGCGCCACUCGUAUCUGCUUAACGCAGCACUGCGGAAUGGUGAGGUCAGUCGUUCAAAUCGGCUAGUGGGCA